AACGAACGCUGGCGGCAGGCUUAACACAUGCAAGUCGAACGCCCCGCAAGGGGAGUGGCAGACGGGUGAGUAACGCGUGGGAAUCUACCUAGUUCUACGGAACAACACAGGGAAACUUGUGCUAAUACCGUAUACGCCCUACGGGGGAAAGAUUUAUCGGAAUUAGAUGAGCCCGCGUAAGAUUAGCUAGUUGGUGGGGUAAUGGCCUACCAAGGCGACGAUCUUUAGCUGGUCUGAGAGGAUGAUCAGCCACACUGGGACUGAGACACGGCCCAGACUCCUACGGGAGGCAGCAGUGGGGAAUAUUGGACAAUGGGCGAAAGCCUGAUCCAGCCAUGCCGCGUGAGUGAUGAAGGCCUUAGGGUUGUAAAGCUCUUUCAGUAGGGAAGAUAAUGACGGUACCUACAGAAGAAGCCCCGGCUAACUUCGUACCAGCCGCCGCAGUAA
rnacentral:rRNA from 1 species